GACGAACGCUGGCGGCGUGCUUAACACAUGCAAGUCGAACGGAAAGGCCCGGCUUUUGUGGGGUGCUCGAGUGGCGAACGGGUGAGUAACACGUGAGUAACCUGCCCUUGACUUUGGGAUAACUUCAGGAAACUGGGGCUAAUACCGGAUAGGAUCUCCUGCUGCAUGGUGGGGGUUGGAAAGUUUCGGCGGUUGGGGCUGGACUGGCGGCUUAUCAGCUUGUUGGUGGGGUAGUGGCUUACGAAGGCUUUGACGGGUAGCCGGCCUGAGAGGGUGACCGGGCACAUUGGGACUGAGAGACGGCGCAGAAUCGUACGGGAGGCAGCAGUGGAGAAUAUUGCACAAUGGGCGGACGUGUGAUGCAGCAACGCCGCGUGCGGGAUGCCGGGUUUCGGGUUGUAAACAGCUUUCGACUGUGACGAAGCGUGAGUGACGGUAAUGGGUAAAGAAGCACCGGCUAACUACGUG
rnacentral:rRNA from 1 species